rnacentral:lncRNA from 1 species
AAAACACCCUUUAAAUUCAGUGGGAAUUUGCCUGCCUGUGGACUGUUGGCAGGAUAUGGCCCAUAAGGCUACUGGGCGGCUGAGGAUUCAUACCUCUAGAUGUGCACUGCAUCUCUUUGUUUUUGCUGCCAGAGGUAAUCAGACAGUUAAUAGCUUUUGCAUGGAGAGCCAAUUGACUGUGUGUGAUGUGAGAGCUUAGCCAGGCAUGAAAAUAUAAAAAUGAAAGAAUAAGUUAAACCACCACAUUCUUUGGGGAAGUGUAAAUGGAUGGUAGUUAUCACUUACCACCUUAGUCACUUGUUCUUUCAUCAAAAUGAAUUACCUAAUUUUUCUUUUUGUGCAUGAUGAUGCCUUCACGAAAAAACAAGUCUAUGGAAAUACUGAAUACCAGUAAGUCAGAAGAAGUGAAGGAUGCAAAACUGCAGUUUUCCCAUGGCCUGAAAAUGACUCCCUCCCUGGCUUAGGGCAGCCACAGCUUUCUAACAUCAGUGACUUCUGGGCUGUCACCCCUGAGAGAAGAAUCAGAGCCCAAGAGAGUGUACUUGUCAGUAGUUUAUGGAUGACAAUAGUCACAUACACACUGCUUCACGAUAAGGUCCUUCAGGCCAGGAACUGUUUGCAAUGCACAGAGCACACUUGGGAUCUGACUGCUAUUAUUAUUCCCUUCGGCAAUGUACUGUAUACAUAUCUUUUUUGAUUUCCAUGACUAUGACAGAGAUCUACUCAGUGAAGCAUGAUAUAGUGAUAUGAAACUCUCUAAGUGCUUCUCAAAAUACGGAAGCCAUAAAUCAUUCACCUUAACCUAGGCCCAAACUUACAUGAAAUUGGGGUAGAUCAUCUCAGAAGCUAAUUUACCAGUAGUCCAACCAAUGCCAGCUGUGUGUGAAGCACAUAACAGUUAUAAAGGUAGGUUACACAUUGCUUCAGGGUUUGUAAUGGAUGUUUUGCGCAGCUGUAUUGAUGAGCGGGUGAGGAGAGUUCAGAAUGAAUAAAGUGUGGGUGGUGGAAAUAUUCA